CCUACGGGUGGCAGCAGUGGGGAAUAUUGGACAAUGGGGGGAACCCUGAUCCAGCCAUGCCGCGUGUGUGAAGAAGGCCCUCGGGUUGUAAAGCACUUUCAGUGAGGAAGAACGCCUGGUGGUUAAUACCCAUCAGGAAAGACAUCACUCACAGAAGAAGCACCGGCUAACUCCGUGCCAGCAGCCGCGGUAAUACGGAGGGUGCGAGCGUUAAUCGGAAUUACUGGGCGUAAAGCGCGCGUAGGUGGCUUGAUAAGCCGGUUGUGAAAGCCCCGGGCUCAACCUGGGAACGGCAUCCGGAACUGUCAAGCUAGAGCGCAGGAGAGGAAGGUAGAAUUCCCGGUGUAGCGGUGAAAUGCGUAGAGAUCGGGAGGAAUACCAGUGGCGAAGGCGGCCUUCUGGACUGACACUGACACUGAGGUGCGAAAGCGUGGGUAGCAAACAGGAUUAGAUACCCGAGUAGUC
rnacentral:rRNA from 1 species